UUCACCCAAGGGUUCAUAACACGAGAUUAAGGGUCCCAAAAAACAAGAUUGGUCCCUUUAUUCACAAAUUCUCUCAAAAGAAAAUCAUUCUCUCUCAAAAACAAACCCUAACCUCUUCAAGAUUUAAGCUCAAGCUUCAAAAAAAUCACAAAGAACUUUCACAGAUUCAUCAAUUAAGGUAUGUUAGAUGUUCAUCCAGUCCAAGAAUCCAUUUUCAAGUUUAAAGUUUUGAUCUUUACAUGUUAUUAUGAAUUAUAUCCAUGAACUUCCAUGAAUCUCCAUUUUAUAUCUUGCUUACAAAUUGUUUUCGAUGAAAUUUGUCCAUAACACAUUUGAAGGGUGAUUUUUGCAUGUCAUAUCCUUAACCCAUGAAUUUUCGUAGUGAAAUUAUGUUAUUAUUUCAUGUUUAACUAUUCCUAUGCGUUAACUCAUGACCCCCAUGUGUUUGAUAAAAUGCCUAAAUGAUUGGGUUUUGAACUAUGAUUACUUAUUACAUGUAUUAUAUGUUUACAAUGACUUACCUUCAUAAAACUCUUAUGAAUUUCGAUCAAGUAUUACAUUUCCAAGAGUUUUGAUGGAAAGAGAGCCUUUACACGUUUGAAAGUUGAAGUAUGUUUAUCUAGACCUUGGUAAUUUGGUUUCAAGUUAUGAUUUUAAUUGUUUUCACGUGGAAUGCAUUAUAGUAUGUUUUAAAUAUUGUGGUUUUCAUAUUAUGUUCAUGUGAAUUCAGAAUAAAAUCCUCAAUUUAUGAUUUGGUCAUGUGAUUAUGCUAACUUAUCAUAUUUAAAGCACCCCCAUGUUAAAGUCUUGACCCCCAUGUGUUUGAUGAAAUGCUUAAGUAAAUAAUUGUGAACAAUGAUUUUCUUCCAUAGUUUCAAAGCUUUCAUGUGUCUCUAUUAUUAUUUUUAUCGAGUCCUGGGGGUUUUGAAUACCUAAAAUUUAGUUGUUCACUUAGUCUCAGUAUUUUUAGAAUGGUUUCAAACACGUAUGAGCAUUAUCAGUUCAGUCAAUUAUUAUGUCAGUCAAACUUAGAUCAGUUCAGUAAUUCGAAUCAGUUCCUUCAUUAGUUAAACUUAGUUCAAUCCCAUAGUCAGUGUCAGUUCAGUUGGGAGUUGGAUUCAACACUGAGCGAAUCUAGGGAUGGGAGCAUUCCUUUUAGUAUAGGGUUUGACCCUUAGUAACAAUCCGUGAGUCACAGAAUUACGUAGCCAGUAUAGGUUUGAGAUGCACUACAAAAAACAUGUCAAAUUGCGGGGGUUAAUUUUACAGUUUGCGAGGGUUUUAAACCCCUGUAAAAUGUAAUUGCAGCAGUUUCCAAAACCCCCAGAAUACGAGCUAUCACAAACAAGUUGCGACGAUUUUUUUUCGACCUCCAUAAUUAAUUUGCAGCGGUUACAACCCCCAUAAUUAAUUUGCGGCAGUUAUUGACCCCCACUAUUCUAAAUUUAAUUCUUUUUAUAAUAAAUUUUUAUUUAAAAUUUGCGAGGGUUAAAACCUCUGCAAUUUUUUGUUUAAUUUAGUAGGACCCUUCAAUUUUUCAUAACUAAUUAUAAAUUCUAAUUCUAAUUCAAAUUUAAUUGUUUCUUUAGGCAUAACUACAAUCCAAUAUUUGUUCAAUUUAUAUAUCACUAAUAUAACAGAGUAAUUAAACAUGGUAAUUGACAAGCAUAUAAAAAAAUACAUUGAACAUUAAACUUCAAAAUUACAUUUUCAAACUCCAAUUUUUCAACAUUAACUAGUAUCUUCAAACUACGAAAUCAAAUUUAAACACAAAACCUUCAAUAUUCUAAGAUUCACUCCAACCACACAAUUACAUCAUCAUAAUUAAAUAUCCAAGACAAAUGCAACAAAAUCAAAGAAUGUCAUUAGGAUCAUUAUCAUCACGUGAUCUCUUUGCAUCCAUGGGCAAAAUGGGUCCACUAGCUACAUCGCUUGGCUACAUAAAAAUGCAAAGUAUAAACAUCAAUCGAUAAAUUUUCCGUCCUUAUUAUACUAUAAACAACAAGUUAUAGUGAACAUCAUGCUUAACACCAUGUUGGAAAAAUUUUCAAACUUCCAGAGAAAAUCAAGCCUCUAUAAUGAAAUGUCGUUAUAACAAGAUGACAUUAUAGAGAGUUAUUACUAGAUUACUUACUUUCUAUUUAAUUAAAGGUGGUAAGUUGUUUCCCUUUCCUAAAAUUUGAUUAUUUGUUUGGUAAACUUGCCUUAGCUACAUCAACACCCUUACACUUUUGAUGUGCACAUAUAGAUAUUACUAUAAAAUUGAACAAACAUACUGUCAAAUGGGUUAAAACUCAACAAAACUUGGGUUUUUCAACAGUUCAUUGUUUUCGCUUAAUAUAUACUCCCAUGUUCCCAAUCUUUUUAUUGCAAGAAAUUUAACUAGAAUUCGAAAAAUAAUAGUAACUAAUAAGCUAUAUGUGGCCAAAUACACACUCCAAUUUAACAAGAAAAAGUGCUUGCACUCCACGUGACUAUUUAUCUUCGCCUAACAAGAAGAAGAAAGUGCUUGACCUUCAAAAUAUUUGUCCUUUUUUCAAUUACACAAACUACAAGUUACCUGUUACCAUCUAAGACAGUUAUGAAGCUGAAUCAUAGAGUAGCCACAUAUUGAGAAAUGGUCCUCUAUUAUGGGCUGUCUUUCUAUUAUAUAUAUACAUAUUGUAGCAAUCUACUUUAAACUUACCCAUCUCUAUUAGUAUAAGAUCAACUGAAAUGGCAUGUUGGAAAAUUUUAGUUACUCUACUUGUGUUAUUUCUUCUAUCCUUUCCCGUAACAAACUGCAUUAAAACAACAUCUUUACUUCUCACAAACACUACUCAAGGCAAAGUGAGAUGUGUUGAUGGGAGGAAUUGUAUUCAGAUUCUAUUAGCAAAACUUUUUAACUGCAGGCUGCAUAAACUAUACUACAUAUAAUCAUGACACUGCAGAUGUUUGUGAAAAUAUUGAGACUGACACAAUAUAAAUAGUUAAACGAAGACAGAUUCAUACCAUGUGCCGACACGGAAGUACAGUAGUAUUGCGAGGUUCAGAGAGGCAUAUCACACAUUUUUUCCCAAGAUCAUUUCCAUCAAAGUCACUUUCAACUGAAUUACCAAUCCGGAAAAUCUCUUGCAACUCAUACCUCAUGCCAUUAACCCAGAGGAUCUACUUCGCUACCCAAACAUGGUACUACCUUUGUCCUUUUCAAAAACUGCCUGAGUAAUAUUUGAAUUAGUGGAUCCCAAUGCUGCACUUCCAUCCUUUGCUCCACUUUGGCUAUCUAAUGUUGCCUCCGCCUUGACCGCAAGUGGAUAACAGUCAUGCUGCCAGAGGAAAAGGAUCAAGAAAUACUUUCGAUUAGCUCAAGUUGAAAGCACUUACAUGUCAUUUAAAGAGUCAACAAUAUAUUGCCAAGCAAAUACAAUUUGGAAUAACAAAUAAGCACAAAGUAACUACUUUGAUAAUUCCUACAUGAGCGCCCAGAAGCUGUAAGCAUAUUAGAGAACGUUCCUAGUAAUUACUCUCACAGUUGAAGAAAUUCCUUCCUUCAAUAAGUACAACAGUCAUUACCAUAGUAGAUGUCACGGUCAUUAACGGAUGACGGAAGACUGAGCAGUGAAUACAGAUUACAAAAGAAAACAACCAUACAUGCUCAAAGUAUAUCAGAUCUUAAACUUUGGGGAUUGCUGUCUUAGCUUUCAGUAUAAUACACCAUUAUGGAACUUAUAGACAUUCAAGAUAAAUACAUGAUGUGUGCAAUCUAAGAAGUAACUGGUCUAGUAUAGUACAAUCCAUUUAGUUAGAAAAAUAAAAUUUUUGUUGAUAAUCAAAUUACUUACAUAUCCAAAAAUCAAAUGAUACUCUAUUUUUUCUUAUCAAUAAUUUUCUUGCAAUCCUACUUCGGAAACACUCCUUUUGAGCCAUAGGUCUAUCUAAAACAAGCUCUCUAUCUCACAAAGAUAGGGGUAAGGUUUGAGUAUUUCCCAUCCUCUCAGGCCCCAUGGUCUUGUGGGAUUACACUGGGUAUGUUGUCAUGUAUCUCAACACAAGAUUCUAUGGAUCAAUUCCUUCCUUACAACAGGGAAUACGUGUAAGGAGAGCGGUGCAGAUAUCAAUUGCCUCUUUGAGGUCUGAUGCUACUAUACAAUGACGCAGGACAUGGUGAUAAAAUGAUUCUUACCAUCUUCCAUCCGUUUUUUAUCAAAAUGAAAGCAACAUAUCAUAUUAGAUCAGAAUGGAGUGUUACCCAUCGAUAAUGAUAUAUAGAUAGAGUAGAAGACCAAGUUACUGAUCAUUACGCACCAUUAUUUUGAAUGGUGUAAAUUGAAUGGUAGUAAGAAGUGAAAGGUUGGGGAAUAAGACGACCAUUGACUACAAAACAAUAUACCUCAUUAUUUUGUAUUCGCAACAGCAAAUCUUUAACUUUGUCAUCAGUAUGUUGGACCUACAUGAAGUCAAAAAAUAGAAUAAAGGGUAGAUCCCUACAUUAUAGUUCUCCGAGACUUCCUUUAAUAGAUACGGUAAGGAUAGAAAAACUAAAACAAAAUGAAAGACGGCAAGCAACAACGAAACAAUCUUAACAAGAGAAUAAUCUUUUUCCUUGAAACAGAAAACAAGGGAACAAUCUUUUGGUACUGAAGGUUGUAAAAUUUUGUUUUAGGCAAGGGCUGGGAGAAGGUGCAGGUUUUCAUCAAUUGAAAAAUAUGGUCAUAACAAAGAAUGAUAUAUUACAAAUACAGAAGAGGAUGAGCCAAAGUACACUUCUGAUAACAUAAAAUAAAAGGAGCAAAAUUACACUCCUAUGUAUUUGGCUACUGGCCUUCCUUGAAACAGUCUUCGCAAUCUCCACCCACUUGUUUUUUAUAGCUUGCUGGCAACCAAUUUUAUAAAUUGCAGGAUCCAAUUUUUUCUGCAUUCAGAUAAGCACUUAGGCAAAAGAAAGUUCACUAAACAAUGGAACUAGUCGGAAAACAUCUACCGCUGCUGGUGGUACAUCGUCAGGGUAGGGUCAGCAGACACUGUUAGUGAAAAGAAGGAUCAGAAUUGCAAGGGAACUAGUUGGAAUCAGGCAACUGGUUCAGGAAAUGCGAGCACAGCUUGGAAUGCAAACAAAUCCAACUUUGAGGACGUGAACAAAUCAAAAGAAAUAAGUGACGGACCGACUUUGAGCAAACUACAUCUCGAAGAAACAAAAAUUGUCAAAAGAGAUUAAUAUGCAAGUCUAGUAUCAGCAAGUUGCACAUUCACUGACUUCGACCAUGUUACACACACCUUCAUCGAUAAAUAACAGAGAAUCGCAGCUUUGGACGUAUUUAUAUCUGUCUAACAUAUGUGAAGGCAUAAAAAUUCUAACAGAUCCUACAUAACAAGCAGCGGCACAGUAUUGGUCUCCGAACAAGGAGAGUCCAAGAUUGUGUGUCUGACUUCUUCGAGCAAACUACAUCUUGAAGAAAUUUCAGAUACACUCUACACUUGGCCAUCAUUGGUGGCCAAAGUGUCAAAAUCGACUGUGAAUGAGCUGAAACGCCGCAAAUUUGACAGUCGACUGUGAGCAUUAUAUUUUAAUGUUCUUGACUAUAGUUUUUUUUUUUAACACAUAUUUUGACAUAUAUAAUCAGAGAACGUGCAAGAAGAUGUAAUAUUCAUUCAUGGGUUUAUAUCAUCAUCAACAUUUUGGACAGACACUAUUUCUAAAUCUAUCAAAGGCAGCAAAAUCCAAAGCCAAGUGAUUCACUUUACACAUUAAGAGAACAUGCAGAGAUGACUUACAACUACUACUUUGCACCAACCUCGGAGUCCAGCUCAAUUGCAAUCGCCGGCCGGAGUAGUAAUGAUCGGCCGACGGAGUCAAUUUGGGGGAAUGAGAGGGGCUGAUUUGGGGGAAAUGAGAGAGGGAUAUUUGGGAGAAAUAAAAGCUGUGAAUUAAAAAAAGAGGGAAAAUUUUGGAUAAUAUCAUACAGAACCGGGAAUUUUUUUUCAAUGGUAUAAAAUGCUUUUUUUUUUUUUUUAUUGAUAGCGGGGAUUUAAAACUCUUGCAAAUUUAUAAAUUUUAGUGACAGUUUUUUAACCCCCAUAUUUUAUAUAAUUUUACGGAGGUUAAAAUAACUCUCGCAAAUAAACCCUCGCAAUUUGACUGUUUUUUUAAAUGAUGUAUUCCUGCUAGUUUAGGGUUGAUACAUAUCUCAUGAGUCUUCCUGUUAGUUUAGGGUUAACAAGAUAUCUUCCUGCUAGUUUAAGUUUGACACAGCCAUUUUUAGUACCCUGGCAGGGUGCUAGCACCCUUUCAACUGGGAUCACAGGUUGGACCUCACCCCUAUUAGAUCAGAUUUGGGGCAUGUCGGUUGGAUGAUACCUCCCACAAUUUUAGUUUCAGUAUUCAGUUUAGAACUCAGUUCAAUUUUACUUGAUCAUAGCAUUCAGUUUAUCAUUUAUUCAAUUAUCAAAAUUUAGUAUUUCAGCAGACUAUUUCAGAAUCAUGUUAUAUGCUUGGUCAUGCAUUCUCAGAUUUUAUAGUAUCCAUAUUUUCAUAUCAGUUAUCUAAUGCUAUUCAGUCAAUUAUUAUUCAUGUACAUGAGCCCAUGCAUAUCGGCCUAACCACAUCUAGUAUACCAGUACAUUUAAAGUACUGACUGUAUACUCGUUUCUUGUGCUAUGAUGUCUCAUAUCAUAGGUUUGGAUGCUCAGGUUCCCGACCGCACAUAGAUAUUCUAGGGCAUCUGCAGCAACAACCUCGUAUUUUGAG
rnacentral:lncRNA from 1 species